rnacentral:rRNA from 1 species
AACCUGACGCAGCGACGCCGCGUGAGCGAUGAAGGCCUUCGGGUUGUAAAGCUCUGUUUUAAGGGACGAAUGUUACGGGGAGUAAUAUGCCCUGUAAAUGACGGUACCUUAAGAGGAAGCCCCGGCUAACUCCGUGCCAGCAGCCGCGAUAAUA